rnacentral:misc_RNA from 1 species
GUGUCAGCUUCUACAGUGCCAUCUGCAUAGACCAGCACAAUAAAUUGCAGAAGAUCUCCAGGAAACUCAAGGAAUUUCAUGAAGUUAAAUUAGAAAUUUGCAAGAGUAAAUCUCAACUCUUAAGCAUGUUUAUUGACUUCCACAUUACUUCUAUCAGCCAGGGAAUUAUGCAAAACACAUUCAACAUUGGCUAUUAAUAACAUACUACAGGACCUACAUGGAUGCUCAUUAGAACUGAUGCAUUCAUAAUAUUGAAAACCCAAACCGAUUCAAAUUUCCAUCUUCUUAUGAAGAGUUUGAUUACUUGUGAAAUGUGAUACUUCUUCAAAACAAAGCCCACAAAGCAGAAUGCAUAUUGGCUCAUAUGCAUAAUCAUGUAUGGACAAAAGAAUAGUUUAACAAAGUACCAAAGGAAUGCAUCAUUAGAUGUAAUCUGAAAUGUUCUUAUAGGAAAUACUAACAAAAGGACCAAAAAUUCCAUUUGAACUAUAAAUAUCAAGUAACAAUCAGAGUCACCUGAAACACUAACAUAAAGGAUAUAGUUAUAUAGUUCAACUAUGAAUUGCAGAAGGGAAGGGGACUUGGUUUCAAUCAUUACAUGAUUGAAAAAAACAGAAAAAGUGGCUUGGCAAAAGUGGAUUUACAUAUUAUAUUCCUGCAAUUACCUUUAUUCUCCACAAGUUCAGGUU